rnacentral:rRNA from 1 species
CACGUAGGGUGCGAGCGUUGUCCGGAAUUAUUGGGCGUAAAGAGCUCGUAGGCGGUGUGUCGCGUCGGCCGUGAAACCUGCAGCUUAACUGUGGGCUUGCGGUCGAUACGGGCAUCACUGGAGUUCGGCAGGGAGACUGGAAUCCUGGUGUAGCGGUGAAAUGCGCAGAUAUCAGGAGGAACACCGGUGGCGAAGGCGGGUCUCUGGGCCGAUGACUG